rnacentral:misc_RNA from 1 species
GAUGAAGAACGCAGCGAAAUGCGAUAAGUAAUGUGAAUUGCAGAAUUCAGUGAAUCAUCGAAUCUUUGAACGCACAUUGCGCCCCUUGGUAUUCCGGGGGGCAUGCCUGUUCGAGCGUCAUUUCAACCAUCAAGCCCCAGGCUUGUGUUGGAGCCCUGCGGCUGCCGCAGCCUCCCAAAACCAGUGGCGGGCUCGCUAUCACACCGAGUGCAGUAGUUUACUCUUCGCUCAGGGCGUGUGGCGGGUGCUAGCCGUGAAACCCCCAACUUCUCAAGGUUGACCUCGGAUCAGGUAGGAAUACCCGCUGAACUUAAGCAUAUCAAUAAGCGGAGGA